CAGCCGCCGCGGUAAUACCGGCGGCCCGAGUGGCGGUCACUAUUAUUGGGCUUAAAGCGUCCGUAGCCGGGGUGGGAAGUCCUCCGGGAAAUCUGGCCGCUUAACGGUCAGAAUGCCGGAGGAUACUCCCAGCCUAGGGAGCGGGAGAGGCCGAGGGGAUUCCCGGAGUAGGGGUGAAAUCCUAUAAUCCCGGGAGGACCACCUGUGGCGAAGGCGCUCGGCUGGAACGCGUCCGACGGUGAGGGACGAAGGCCAGGGGAGCAAACCGGAUUAGAUACCCGGGUAGUCCUGGCUGUAAACGAUGCGGACUUUGUGUCGGACAAGCUAUGAGCUUGUCCGGUGCCGGAGGGAAACCGUUAAGUCCGCCGCCUGGGGAGUACGGCCGCAAGGCUGAAACUUAAAGGGAUUGGCGGG
rnacentral:rRNA from 1 species